AAUAGAUACUCUGGUAGUCCACGCCGUAAACGAUGGAUACUAGCUGUUGGAGGUAUCGACCCCUUCAGUAGCGAAGCUAACGCGUUAAGUAUCCCGCCUGUGGAGUACGGUCGCAAGACUAAAACAUAAAGGAAUUGACGGGGAUCAGCACAAGCGGUGGAUUAUGUUCUUUAAUUCGAUGAUAACCGAUGAACCUUACCAGGGUUUGACAUCCAGGAAAGCACUACGAAAGUAGAGUGUGCCUUUUGGAAUCCUGUGACAGGUGUUGCAUGGCCGUCGUCAGCUCGUGUCGUGAGAUGUUUGGUUAAGUCCAUCAACGAGCGCAACCCUUGCAAGUAGUUGUAUUUUUCUACUUGGACUGCUCUAGUAAUAGGGAGGAAGGAGGGGAUGAUGUCAGGUCAGUAUUACCCUUACACCCUGGGCUAGAAACAUAAUACAAUGGCCGGUACAAUGCGCAGCGAAGCAGUGAUGUGGAGCAAAUCGCAUCAAAAGCCGGUCCCAGUUCGGAUAAGAGGCUGAAACUCGCCUU
rnacentral:rRNA from 1 species